rnacentral:rRNA from 1 species
AACGAACGCUGGCGGCAUGCCUAACACAUGCAAGUCGAACGAGACCUUCGGGUCUAGUGGCGCACGGGUGCGUAACGCGUGGGAACCUGCCCUUAGGUUCGGAAUAACUCCCCGAAAGGGGUGCUAAUACCGGAUAAUGUCUUCGGACCAAAGAUUUAUCGCCUUUGGAUGGGCCCGCGUUGGAUUAGCUAGUUGGUAGGGUAAAAGCCUACCAAGGCGACGAUCCAUAGCUGGUCUGAGAGGAUGAUCAGCCACACUGGGACUGAGACACGGCCCAGACUCCUACGGGAGGCAGCAGUGGGGAAUAUUGGACAAUGGGCGAAAGCCUGAUCCAGCAAGGCCGCGUGAGUGAUGAAGGCCUUAGGGUUGUAAAGCUCUUUUACCCGGGAUGAUAAUGACAGUACCGGAGAAUAAGCUCCGGCUAACUCCGUG